rnacentral:rRNA from 1 species
UACGUAGGGUGCAAGCGUUGUCCGGAAUUAUUGGGCGUAAAGAGCUUGUAGGCGGUUUGUCGCGUCUGCUGUGAAAUUUCGGGGCUCAACCCCGAACUUGCAGUGGGUACGGGCAGACUAGAGUGUGGUAGGGGAGACUGAAAUUCCUGGUGUAGCGGUGAAAUGCGCAGAUAUCAGGAGGAACACCGAUGGCGAAGGCAGGUCUCUGGGCCAUAACUGACGCUGAGAAGCGAAAGCAUGGGGAGCGAACAGG